UAGGGAAUAUUGGUCAAUGGGCGAGAGCCUGAACCAGCCAUGCCGCGUGCAGGAAGACGGCCUUCUGGGUUGUAAACUGCUUUUAUACGGGAAGAAAAUCUCCAUGCGUGGAGCAUUGCCGGUACCGUAUGAAUAAGCACCGGCUAACUCCGUGCCAGCAGCCGCGGUAAUACGGAGGGUGCAAGCGUUGUCCGGAUUUAUUGGGUUUAAAGGGUGCGUAGGCGGCUUUAUAAGUCAGUGGUGAAAUCCCGCAGCUCAACUGCGGCACUGCCAUUGAUACUGUAGAGCUUGAGUAUAGAUGAGGUAGGCGGAAUUUAUGGUGUAGCGGUGAAAUGCAUAGAUACCAUAAAGAACACCGAUAGCGAAGGCAGCUUACUAAACUAUAACUGACGCUGAGGCACGAAAGCAUGGGUAGCGAACAGGAUUAGAUACCCGCGUAGUCC
rnacentral:rRNA from 1 species